GCAGAAUUCGGCUUAGAGUUUGAUCCUGGCUCAGAACGAACGCUGGCGGCAGGCUUAACACAUGCAAGUCGAACGCCCCGCAAGGGGAGUGGCAGACGGGUGAGUAACGCGUGGGAAUCUACCGAGCCCUACGGAAUAACGCAUGGAAACGUGUGCUAAUACCGUAUACGCCCUUAGGGGGAAAGAUUUAUCGGGGUUUGAUGAGCCCGCGUUGGAUUAGCUAGUUGGUGGGGUAAAGGCCUACCAAGGCGACGAUCCAUAGCUGGUCUGAGAGGAUGAUCAGCCACAUUGGGACUGAGACACGGCCCAAACUCCUACGGGAGGCAGCAGUGGGGAAUAUUGGACAAUGGGCGCAAGCCUGAUCCAGCCAUGCCGCGUGAGUGAUGAAGGUCUUAGGAUUGUAAAGCUCUUUCACCGGAGAAGA
rnacentral:rRNA from 1 species